rnacentral:rRNA from 1 species
UGGGGAAUAUUGCACAAUGGGCGCAAGCCUGAUGCAGCCAUGCCGCGUGUGUGAAGAAGGCCUUCGGGUUGUAAAGCACUUUCAGCGAGGAGGAAGGUGGUGAGCUUAAUACGCUCAUCAAUUGACGUUACUCGCAGAAGAAGCACCGGCUAACUCCGUGCCAGCAGCCGCGGUAAUACGGAGGGUGCAAGCGUUAAUCGGAAUUACUGGGCGUAAAGCGCACGCAGGCGGUUUGUUAAGUCAGAUGUGAAAUCCCCGGGCUCAACCUGGGAACUGCAUUUGAAACUGGCAAGCUAGAGUCUCGUAGAGGGGGGUAGAAUUCCAGGUGUAGCGGUGAAAUGCGUAGAGAUCUGGAGGAAUACCGGUGGCGAAGGCGGCCCCCCUGGACGAAGACUGACGCUCAGGUGCGAAAGCGUGGGGCAGCAAACAGGAUUAGAUACCCUGGUAGUCCACGCUGUAAACGAUGUCGAUUUGGAGGUUGUGCCCUUGAGGCGUGGCUUCCGGAGCUAACGCGUUAAAUCGACCGCCUGGGGAGUACGGCCGCAAGGUU